UAGGAAUCCUUAGUGGCGGACGGGUGAGUAACGCGUGAGGAACCUGCCUUGGAGAGGGGAAUAACACAGUGAAAAUUGUGCUAAUACCGCAUGAUGCAGUUGAGUCGCAUGGCUCUGACUGCCAAAGAUUUAUCGCUCUGAGAUGGCCUCGCGUCUGAUUAGGUAGUUGGUGGGGUAAUGGCCCACCAAGCCGACGAUCAGUAGCCGGACUGAGAGGUUGACCGGCCACAUUGGGACUGAGACACGGCCCAGACUCC
rnacentral:rRNA from 1 species